AGACUCAGAUUCGGAAAGAAGCAAAGCAAGCUAGAGGAAAACUGGAUGUCCAGUAUCCAAAACUCCGUGUUACAGCGGAUCUUCUCCUCUGAUCCGAAAAGCUUCACAGGCCAAAAGAGAAUUGAGAUGAAGAAGGCAAGAGAGAAUGCAGACCAAGACUUCCAAUUCCCACCUGUGUGAGGUGAAGAAGAACACUGCAACCAGCUGAAGCCGUAUCGGACACAUGCUUCUGUUCUGCUCGGAAGUAAACCAGAGCGAUUCCACGGUGUACUUUAGACAGAUUUCCUCUGGACUCAGCAUCCCCAGGGGAUAUUUCCAAGCUCUCGGAAGGACCUGUCGUUCUCUCUGACACUGCAGUCUCCAUUAGGAAGGGACACCACCCGGCUAGCCAAGCUAACCCAUUGAAAAUGGAAGGAGUGGGACAUCUUCAAAAGCCUGCUGCUGCUUCUAAGCAGAACUGCGCUGUAGGUGGGGACACAGCAAGAGGACACGUCCAGGCCACGCUGGAACUGCAAGGCACCUGUCCGAGCCACGGAACAAAGUCAGCGAUUGCCAGUUGGAGACUGUUGCUCGCCCAGUAACACAGCAGCUGGAGCGCUUCUGGUUGCUGCUGCUGGGUUCCCGUGAAUCAGCCAGGGAUAGGAGCUAUGAGAACAACUGAAGCGAUCUGAAGAUACCUGAAAGAAAGAAAA